rfam:Bacterium P201 scaffold_40, whole genome shotgun sequence.
GGUACCGUAGCUCAGUUGGUAGAGCAGAGGACUGAAAAUCCUCGUGUCACUGGUUCGAUUCCCGUCGGUACCA